UAUUAAUUAUGGUAUAAUUUAUCAUUCAAAUCAACAUAGGACAAUUGUCAAUACUUUUAAAAACAGUUCAGAUCUGAAAUAUCAACAUGGAGAGGUAUUUAUUGAUCCUCAUAAUUAUAUCAGGUGUGUUUUCUGACAGCAUUGAACCAAAAGAUGAAGAUAUGAAUAUAACCAGGAGAGAAGGAGAGUCUGUGACACUGAGAUGCUCUUAUGAUUCAAGCAGCAAUAAUAUUUUGCUUUACUGGUACAGACAGUAUCCUAAUACUGAACCAACAUAUUUACUGUAUAAAGGUGCUCGAUCAUACAGCGGAAUUGAUAAUAUUCCAGACCGUCGGUUUCAGUCGACAACAUCCCAAUCAUCCACUGAACUCACUAUUAACAGUGUGACUCUGUCAGAUUCAGCUCUCUAUUAGUGUGCUUUGAGAGCUGGAGCCCAGUGAUACAAAGUGCCUGAGAGGCUUUACAAAA